AACGAACGCUGGCGGCAUGCCUAACACAUGCAAGUCGAACGAGACCUUCGGGUCUAGUGGCGCCCGGGUGCGUAACGCGUGGGAACCUGCCCUUAUGGUCGGAAUAACUCCCCGACAGGGGUGCUAAUACCGGAUAAUGUCUUCGGACCAAAGAUUUAUCGCCUUUGGAUGGGCCCGCGUUGGAUUAGCUAGUUGGUAGGGUAAAAGGCUACCAAGGCGACGAUCCAUAGCUGGUCUGAGAGGAUGAUCAGCCACACUGGGACUGAGACACGGCCCAGACUCCUACGCGAGGCAGCAGUGGGGAAUAUUGGACAAUGGGCGAAAGCCUGAUCCAGCAAUGCCGGGUGAGUGAUGAAGGCCGUAGGGUUGUAAAGCUCUUUUACCCGGGAUGAUAAUGACAGUACCGGGAGAAUAAGCCCCGGCUAACUCCGUG
rnacentral:rRNA from 1 species